rnacentral:rRNA from 1 species
CACGUAGGCACCAAGCGUUGUCCGGAUUUAUUGGGCGUAAAGAGCUCGUAGGCGGUUCGGUAAGUCGGGUGUGAAAACUUUGGGCUUAACCCAAAGCCUGCAUCCGAUACUGCUGUGACUAGAGUUCGGUAGGGGAGUGGGGAAUUCCUAGUGUAGCGGUGAAAUGCGCAGAUAUUAGGAGGAACACCGGUGGCGAAGGCGCCACUCUGGGCCGAAACUGACGCUGAGGAGCGAAAGCGUGGGUAGCAAACAGG